rnacentral:rRNA from 1 species
CCUACGGGAGGCUGCAGUGAGGAAUAUUGGUCAAUGGGCGGGAGCCUGAACCAGCCAAGCCGCGUGAGGGAAGAAGGUACAGCGUAUCGUAAACCUCUUUUGUCAGGGAACAAAGGCGGGGACUAGUCCCCGGAUGAGGGUACCUGAAGAAAAAGCAUCGGCUAACUCUGUGCCAGCAGCCGCGGUAAUACGGAGGAUGCGAGCGUUUUCCGGAUUUAUUGGGUUUAAAGGGUGCGCAGGCGGCCUGUUAAGUCAGCGGGAAAAGCCCGGGGCUCAACCCCGGCGAGCCGUUGAAACUGGCGGGCGGGAGUUGGAGAGAAGUACGCGGAAUGGGCGGUGGAGCGGUGAAAUGCUUAGAUAUCGCGCAGAACCCCGAUUGCGAAGGCAGCGGACCGGCGCCACACUGACGCUGAGGCACGAAAGCGGGGGUAUCGAACAGAAUUAGAUACCCCGGUAGUC